rnacentral:rRNA from 1 species
CGAUAAAGCGGGUGAAAAGCCCGCUCGCCGGAAGACCAAGGGUUCCUGUCCAACGUUAAUCGGGGCAGGGUGAGUCGACCCCUAAGGCGAGGCCGAAAGGCGUAGUCGAUGGGAAACGGGUUAAUAUUCCCGUACUUGGUGUUACUGCGAAGGGGGGACGGAGAAGGCUAUGUUGGCCGGGCGACGGUUGUCCCGGUUUAAGCGUGUAGGUGUGUGUUCCAGGUAAAUCCGGUUCACUUUAACACUGAGGCGUGACGACGAGGCACUACGGUGCUGAAGCAACAAAUGCCCUGCUUCCAGGAAAAGCCUCUAAGCAUCAGGUAACAUCAAAUCGUACCCCAAACCGACACAGGUGGUCAGGUAGAGAAUACCAAGGCGCUUGAGAGAACUCGGGUGAAGGAACUAGGCAAAAUGGUGCCGUAACUUCGGGAGAAGGCACGCUGACACGUAGGUGAAGUGAUUUACUCAUGGAGCUGAAGUCAGUCGAAGAUACCAGCUGGCUGCAACUGUUUAUUAAAAACACAGCACUGUGCAAACACGAAAGUGGACGUAUACGGUGUGACGCCUGCCCGGUGCCGGAAGGUUAAUUGAUGGGGUCAGCGCAAGCGAAGCUCCUGAUCGAAGCCCCGGUAAACGGCGGCCGUAACUAUAACGGUCCUAAGGUAGCGAAAUUCCUUGUCGGGUAAGUUCCGACCUGCACGAAUGGCGUAAUGAUGGCCAGGCUGUCUCCACCCGAGACUCAGUGAAAUUGAACUCGCUGUGAAGAUGCAGUGUACCCGCGGCAAGACGGAAAGACCCCGUGAACCUUUACUAUAGCUUGACACUGAACAUUGAGCCUUGAUGUGUAGGAUAGGUGGGAGGCUUUGAAGUGUGGACGCCAGUCUGCAUGGAGCCGACCUUGAAAUACCACCCUUUAAUGUUUGAUGUUCUAACGUGGACCCGUUACCCGGGUUGCGGACAGUGUCUGGUGGGUAGUUUGACUGGGGCGGUCUCCUCCUAAAGAGUAACGGAGGAGCACGAAGGUUGGCUAAUCCUGGUCGGACAUCAGGAGGUUAGUGCAAUGGCAUAAGCCAGCUUGACUGCGAGCGUGACGGCGCGAGCAGGUGCGAAAGCAGGUCAUAGUGAUCCGGUGGUUCUGAAUGGAAGGGCCAUCGCUCAACGGAUAAAAGGUACUCCGGGGAUAACAGGCUGAUACCGCCCAAGAGUUCAUAUCGACGGCGGUGUUUGGCACCUCGAUGUCGGCUCAUCACAUCCUGGGGCUGAAGUAGGUCCCAAGGGUAUGGCUGUUCGCCAUUUAAAGUGGUACGCGAGCUGGGUUUAGAACGUCGUGAGACAGUUCGGUCCCUAUCUGCCGUGGGCGCUGGAGAACUGAGGGGGGCUGCUCCUAGUACGAGAGGACCGGAGUGGACGCAUCACUGGUGUUCGGGUUGUCAUGCCAAUGGCACUGCCCGGUAGCUAAAUGCGGAAGAGAUAAGUGCUGAAAGCAUCUAAGCACGAAACUUGCCCCGAGAUGAGUUCUCCCUGAGACUUAAAGUCUCCUGAAGGAACGUUGAAGACGACGACGUUGAUAGGCCGGGUGUGUAAGCGCAGCGAUGCGUUGAGCUAACCGGUACUAAU